GUUUUAAUAGUUUAAAAAAAACUUUGGUCUUGUAAGCCAAAAAUGAAAAUAAUUUCUUAAAGCU
rnacentral:tRNA from 1 species